GGCUGUAUAGCUCAGUUGGUUAGAGCAUCCCCCUAGUAAGGGGAAGGUCGAGAGUUCGACUCUCUCUGCAGCCU